rnacentral:rRNA from 1 species
CCUACGGGGGGCUGCAGUGGGGAAUAUUGCGCAAUGGGCGAAAGCCUGACGCAGCGACGCCGCGUGAGGGAUGAAGGUCUUCGGAUCGUAAACCUCUGUCAGCAGGGAAGAACGGUCACUGUGCUAAUCAGCAGUGAAUUGACGGUACCUGCAAAGGAAGCACCGGCUAACUCCGUGCCAGCAGCCGCGGUAAUACGGAGGGUGCGAGCGUUAAUCGGAAUUACUGGGCGUAAAGCGCUCGUAGGCGGUAUGUCAAGUCAAGGGUGAAAUCCCCGCGCUCAACGUGGGAACUGCCUUUGAAACUGGCUGUCUUGAGAUGUCGAGAGGUAUGCGGAAUGCGCAGUGUAGCGGUGAAAUGCUUAGAUAUUGCGCAGAACUCCGAUUGCGAAGGCAGCAUACCGGCGGCGAUCUGACGCUGAGGCACGAAAGCGUGGGUAUCGAACAGGAUUAGAUACCCCGGUAGUC